AGCUUUAUGUAAUUUCAUUUAAAGUAUAACCUGCCCACUGAAUUUUUUAAAUGGCCGCAGUACCUUGACUGUGCUAAGGUAGCAUAAUAAAUUGGCUUUUAAUUGAGGUCUUGAAUGAAAGGAUUAAUGGACAAUUACUGUCUUAUAUUAAAUUAUAAUAAUUUACUUAAAAGGUGAAAAUUCCUUUGGUUUAAUAUAAUAGACGAGAAGACCCUAGGAGUUUAAUAUUUUGUUGGGGCGACAUUAUAACAUAUAACUUAUAAUAAUUUUAAAUUUAAUUUAACGAAUAUUUUUAAUAAUAACUAAACUACCCUAGGGAUAACAGCAUAAUUUAAAUUUAUUUUAGGUUUGUGACCUCGAUGUUGGACUAAGGACAUUUAAAAUUAAUAAUAUUAAAUGAUAGUUCUGUUCGAACUUUUAACCUU
rnacentral:rRNA from 1 species